rfam:Oryza sativa Japonica Group DNA, chromosome 11, cultivar: Nipponbare, complete sequence.
AAAAAGGCAAACCCUGGGAUUCCGUGUCCAACUUUGACUGUCCGUCCUAUAUGAAAUUUUUUUAUAAUUCGUAUUUUCAUUGUUGUUAGAUGGUAAAACAUGAUUAAUAUUUUAUGCGUGACUUGUCUUUUUAAUUUUUUUCAUAUUUUUUUUAAAUAAGACGGACGGUCAAACAUUGGGCACAGAAACCAGAGUUUACCUUUUUU